rnacentral:rRNA from 1 species
UGGGGAAUAUUGCACAAUGGGCGCAAGCCUGAUGCAGCCAUGCCGCGUGUAUGAAGAAGGCCUUCGGGUUGUAAAGUACUUUCAGCGGGGAGGAAGGGAGUAAAGUUAAUACCUUUGCUCAUUGACGUUACCCGCAGAAGAAGCACCGGCUAACUCCGUGCCAGCAGCCGCGGUAAUACGGAGGGUGCAAGCGUUAAUCGGAAUUACUGGGCGUAAAGCGCACGCAGGCGGUUUGUUAAGUCAGAUGUGAAAUCCCCGGGCUCAACCUGGGAACUGCAUCUGAUACUGGCAAGCCUGAGUCUCGUAGAGGGGGGUAGAAUUCCAGGUGUAGCGGUGAAAUGCGUAGAGAUCUGGAGGAAUACCGGUGGCGAAGGCGGCCCCCUGGACGAAGACUGACGCUCAGGUGCGAAAGCGUGGGGAGCAAACA